rfam:Triticum aestivum genome assembly, contig: Triticum_aestivum_CS42_TGACv1_scaffold_146285_2BS
GAUGUACUCCCUCCGUCCGAAAAUACUUGUUAUCAGAAUGAAUAAAAAGGUAUGUAUCUAGAUGUAUUUUAGUUUUAGAUAUAUUCCUUUUUAUUCAUUUUGUUGACAAGUAUUUUCGAACGAAGGGAGUAGCUA